UUUAAGCUUAAGUAUGAGAUAUGAGUUAGAUGAGAUUCUAACUAGAGUUUAUUUUGUCACAUGGCAAUCUAAACCACGUGCGCCACUAAAGGUUCGAGUGACAGCCGGCGUUAGUACGACCCCGAGCGUUGUGUCAUCGACUCCUGAGACAGGUCUGGCUUGGCGCGAGGAUGGGUGAAGGCUGUUGGAAUUGUCAGUUGACCGUGUCCUUCUAUGUCUCAUGCUUAUCUUAUUGCUAUGACUCUAUAAGUUAUUAAACUCCCUGCUAUAUGUCUUCACACAUAUAGUAACGCAUCGCUGCACAACUCUGAUGAAUCUCUUUAUUUAAUUUGCUGUUGCCUGUAAUACCCCAUAAGGGAAAAUACUUUCAAACCUUGCUAAGUCUCGAAUUAUGUUUUACCAAGCAAGUAAUUAAUUUGGUCUUAAAGUCCUUCUUGAGAAUGAGUAUAAAUUGCAAAUGCUUCCGCUAAUACAAGACGCAAAUUCUAUUUC